rnacentral:rRNA from 1 species
GUACGCCUACAAGUGCUAUACGAUAGCGACUAGGAAGGCGCCGCCACUUGGAUGAAUCCGCCAGUCUACGGAUGCAGCAGUGGGAUAUGCCAUGGCGAAGCUGAUGCAGGACCGCGCUGAGGAUGACGCUCCGGUGUAACUCUUCAGUAGGGACGAGCGCAGUGACGUACUACAGAGAAGCACGGCUACUACGUGCAGCAGCAGCGUAAUACGUAGGGUGCGAGCGUGUCCGAAUAUGGGCGUAAAGAGCUCGUAGGCGGUUGUGCGUCGGCUGUGAAACCUACAGCUUAACUGUGGGCUGCAGUCGAUACGGGCAGACUGAGUUCGGCAGGGAGACUGGAAUUCCUGGUGUAGCGGUGAAAUGCGCAGAUAUCAGGAGGAACACCGGUGGCGAAGGCGGGUCUCUGGGCCGAUACUGACGCUGAGGAGCGAAAGCGUGGGGAGCGAACAGGAUUAGAUACCCUGGUAGUCCACGCCGUAAACGGUGGGUGCUAGGUGUGGGGGACUUCCACGUCCUCCGUGCCGCAGCUAACGCAUUAAGCACCCCGCCUGGGGAGUACGGCCGCAAGGCUAAAACUCAAAGGAAUUGACGGGGGCCCGCACAAGCGGCGGAGCAUGUGGAUUAAUUCGAUGCAACGCGAAGAACCUUACCUGGGCUUGACAUACACCGGAAACAUCCAGAGAUGGGUGCCCCGCAAGGUCGGUGUACAGGUGGUGCAUGGCUGUCGUCAGCUCGUGUCGUGAGAUGUUGGGUUAAGUCCCGCAACGAGCGCAACCCUCGUUCCAUGUUGCCAGCGCGUUAUGGCGGGGACUCAUGGGAGACUGCCGGGGUCAACUCGGAGGAAGGUGGGGAUGACGUCAAGUCAUCAUGCCCCUUAUGUCCAGGGCUUCACAUAUGCUACAAUGGCCGGUACAAAGGGCUGCUAAGCCGCGAGGUGGAGCGAAUCCCAUAAAGCCGGUCUCAGUUCGGAUCGGGGUCUGCAACUCGACCCCGUGAAGUCGGAGUCGCUAGUAAUCGCAGAUCAGCAACGCUGCGGUGAAUACGUUCCCGGGCCUUGUACACACCGCCCGUCACGUCACGAAAGUCGGUAACACCCGAAGCCCGUGGCCCAACCCGCAAGGGGGGGAGCUGACGAACUACACUAUGAUGGCCCC